AUUUCAGUAUGAAGAGUCUCCUCAGGGUACUCUAUAUGGUCUUCUCAGCACAUUAUGUGAACUCCCAGGUGUCACUAGUAGAGUCUGGUCCCAGCAUUGUGAAGCCAGCACAGGCUCUGGAUGUAGCAUGUACAGUGACAGGAGCCUCUCUCACUGACAGCAGCAAGAUUUGGAGUGUGGAAUGGGUACCACAGUUCCCAGGAAAGGGCCUGGAGUGGAUCGGUCGCAUGACAUAUAAUGGAGAUUUAUAUUAUGCCUAGUCAUUGAAGGGACAAAUUACAAUAACGAGAGACACCA